CACGUAGGGGGCAAGCGUUGUCCGGAUUUAUUGGGCGUAAAGAGCUCGUAGGCGGUCUGUCGCGUCUGCCGUGAAAACCCGAGGCUUAACCUCGGGCUGGCGGUGGAUACGGGCAGACUAGAGGUAGGUAGGGGAGAAUGGAAUUCCCGGUGUAGCGGUGAAAUGCGCAGAUAUCGGGAGGAACACCGGUGGCGAAGGCGGUUCUCUGGGCCUUACCUGACGCUGAGGAGCGAAAGCAUGGGGAGCGAACAGG
rnacentral:rRNA from 1 species